rnacentral:rRNA from 1 species
AUCUUGGACAAUGGGCGCAAGCCUGAUCCAGCCAUGCCGCGUGAGUGAAGAAGGCCUUAGGGUUGUAAAGCUCUUUCGUCAGGGAAGAUAAUGACGGUACCUGAAGAAGAAGCCCCGGCUAACUCCGUGCCAGCAGCCGCGGUAAUACGGAGGGGGCUAGCGUUGUUCGGAAUCACUGGGCGUAAAGCGCACGUAGGCCGACGGUUAAGUCGGGGGUGAAAGCCUGGAGCUCAACUCCAGAACUGCCUCCGAUACUGGUCGUCUUGAGUCCGAGAGAGGUGAGUGGAAUUCCCAGUGUAGAGGUGAAAUUCGUAGAUAUUGGGAAGAACACCAGUGGCGAAGGCGGCUCACUGGCUCGGUGCUGACGCUGAGGUGCGAAAGCGUGGGGAGCAAACAGG